rnacentral:rRNA from 1 species
UACAGAGGUCCCAAGCGUUGUUCGGAUUCAUUGGGCGUAAAGGGCGCGUAGGCGGCGGGGCAAGUCGGGUGUGAAAUCUCAGGGUUCAACCCUGAAACUGCACUCGAUACUGCUCUGCUUGAGGACUGGGGAGGAGACUGGAAUUCACGGUGUAGCAGUGAAAUGCGUAGAUAUCGUGAGGAAGACCAGUAGCGAAGGCGGGUCUCUGGACAGUUCUUGACGCUGAGGCGCGAAGGCCAGGGGAGCAAACGGG